rnacentral:rRNA from 1 species
UACGUAGGGUGCGAGCGUUGUCCGGAAUUAUUGGGCGUAAAGGGCUCGUAGGCGGUCUGUUGCGUCGGGAGUGAAAACUCAGGGCUUAACCCUGAGCCUGCUUCCGAUACGGGCAGACUAGAGGUAUGCAGGGGAGAACGGAAUUCCUGGUGUAGCGGUGAAAUGCGUAGAUAUCUGGAGGAACACCGGUGGCGAAGGCGGCAUCCUGGACCGGUAUUGACGCUGAUGCGCGAAAGCCAGGGGAGCAAACGGG